rnacentral:misc_RNA from 1 species
UCUCCGUUGGUGAACCAGCGGAGGGAUCAUUACCGAGUUUACAACUCCCAAACCCCUGUGAACAUACCAUUUGUUGCCUCGGCGGUGCCUGCUUCGGCAGCCCGCCAGAGGACCCAAACCCUUGAUUUUAUACAGUAUCUUCUGAGUAAAUGAUUAGAUAAACCAAAACUUUCAACAACGGAUCUCUUGGUUCUG